UACGUAGGGUGCGAGCGUUGUCCGGAAUUAUUGGGCGUAAAGAGCUCGUAGGCGGUUUGUCGCGUCGGCCGUGAAAUCUCCACGCUUAACGUGGAGCGUGCGGUCGAUACGGGCAGACUUGAGUUCGGUAGGGGAGACUGGAAUUCCUGGUGUAGCGGUGAAAUGCGCAGAUAUCAGGAGGAACACCGGUGGCGAAGGCGGGUCUCUGGGCUGACACUGACGCUCAUGCACGAAAGCGUGGGGAGCAAACAGG
rnacentral:rRNA from 1 species